rnacentral:rRNA from 1 species
AUCGAACGCUGGCGGCAAGCCUAACACAUGCAAGUCGAACGAGUGGCGGACGGGUGAGUAACGCAUGGGCAACUGGCUGAUGGAGGGGGAAAACCACUGGAAACGGUAGCCAAUAACCCAAACCUGAGGAUGUGACCAGAGUGGAUUAGCUAGUGGGUGGGGAAAAGGCUAACCGAGGCGACGAUCCCUAGCGGGGCUGAGAGGAUGACCGGCCACACGGGAACGGAGACACGGCCCGAACGCCUCCGGGAGGCAGCUGUGGGGAAUAUCGCAAAAUGGGCGCAAUCCUAAUGCAGCCAGCCCGCGUGUAUGAAGAAGGCCUUCGGGUUGAAAAGUACUUUCAGCGGGGAGGCGUUACCCGCAGAAAAAGCACCGGCUAACUCCGUGCCAGCAGCCGCGGUAAUAC